rnacentral:rRNA from 1 species
UGCGUAGGGGGCAAGCGUUGUCCGGAUUUAUUGGGCGUAAAGAGCGUGUAGGCGGCUUGGUAGGUCCGCUGUGAAAACUCGAGGCUCAACCUCGAGAUGUCGGCGGAAACCACUUGGCUAGAGUCCGGAAGAGGAGAGUGGAAUUCCUGGUGUAGCGGUGAAAUGCGCAGAUAUCAGGAAGAACACCUAUGGCGAAGGCGGCUCUCUGGAACGGUACUGACGCUGAGACGCGAAAGCGUGGGGAGCAAACAGG